rnacentral:lncRNA from 1 species
CGGGGCCUUCCGGUCUUCGGAGGCUCUGAGUGCCGGUUACGUAACGGCGGCUCCGAGCGCCUGGGGUCCUCCCAGAGCUCCUGGGCUCGAGCUCUUUCCAUGAGCACCUCGGGCCUUCUCGUGGCUACCUCUGUGCUUCCCUGAGACCUGAUUUGUGAGCCCUUUUUGCUGGUUUUCGCCAGAGGUUUUUUACCAAAUCAAAAUUUCAACCAUUGACUAACACAGGGGUUGAAGGAAGAGGACGGGGAAGUUCAGUGAUGGAUGGGAACAACAGUCUUAGAUGAUAGGGAUAAUUAAGAGGGCAUAGUUGGGGACUUGUGGUUAUUUUGCACAGCUCUCUACUCUCAGUCCAAUGUUUGGAAAUGAGGAUGCUCCACGUGCUACCCUAAAGAACCAUUUAUGUAAGUGGACUAAGCUAAAACUGCCACAGCUAAACUAUUCCUGCCUCCCUGCUUGCUUCUCCCAUCUCUGUUCCAUAGUCUUUGGUGCUAUUUACAUAUAGGCCUUAAUCCAUUAGAAUCUCGUCUGAGAGUCUUGACACCAUUUUUUGUUUGUUUUGAGACAGUCUAGCUCUGUUGCCCAGGCUGGAGUGCAGUGGGGCGAUCUCGGCUCACUACAAGCUCCACUUCCCACGUUCAGACGAUUCGGUACCUCAGCCUCCCGAGUAGCUGGGAUUACAGGCGUGCGCCACCACAUCUGGCUAGUUUUUGUAUUUUUGGUAGAGAUGGGGUUUUCACGAUGUUGGCCAGGCUGGUCUCGAACUCAUGGCCUCAAGUGACCUGCCUGUCUCGGCCUCCCAAAGUGCUGAGAUUACAGCUGUGAGCCACCUCGCCCAGCUGAUUAUUGUAUUUUUAGUAGAGAUGUGUUUCAUGCGCGUCUGUGUGAAGACACCACCAAACAGGCUUUGUGUGAGCAACAUGGCUGUUUAUUUCACCUGGGUGCAGGCGGGCUGAGUCCGAAAAGAGAGUCAGCAAAGGGUGAUGGAUUAUCAUUAGUUCUUACAGGUUUUGGGAUAGGUGGUGAAGUUGAGAGCAAUGUUUUGUGGGCAGGGGUGGAUCUCACAAAGUACAUUCUCAAGGGUGGGGAGAAUUACAAAGAACCUUCUUAAGGGUGGGGGAGAUUACAAAGUACAUUGAUCAGUUCGGGUGGGGCAGAAACAAAUCACAAUGGUGGAAUGUCAUCAGUUAAGGCUAUUUUUACUUCUUUUGUGGAUCUUCAGUUACUUCAGGCCAUCUGGAUGUAUACGUGCAAGUCACAGGGGAUGCGAUGGCUUGGCUUGGGCUCAGAGGCCUGACAAUGUGGUUUCACCAUGUUGGCCAGGCUGGUCUCAAACUCCUGGCCUCAGGUGAUCCACCUGCCUCAGCCUCUUAAAGUGCUGGGAUUACAGGUGUGAGUCACUGCACCCAGCUGACACCAUUUAUUUUUGUACUGAUAAUAAGGCACAUUUGACUCUAGAGGUUUGUAAAGCCCUUGAGAACAAGGAUCUUCUUAUAUGCCAUGUAUGUUAGUUAACGUUAAUUAAAGCAGCCUUUUUGUUAAAAGAUCUGUAAAAAUAAUAGCUAAAAUUCAAAAGCAAGGUGCUGAGAGACAUAGGAAAGGUGAGCAAGCUCACUUUUUAUUUAUUUUUUUGAGAUGAGGUCUUGCCCUGUCACCCAGGCUGGAGUGCAGUGGCACCAUCAGUGCUCAUUGCUGCCUCAACCUCCUGGGCUGAAGUGAUCCUCCCACCACAGCCUCGCGAGUAGCGAGGAACACAGGUGCAUGCCCCUAUACUUGGCUAAUUUUUUUAUUUCUUGUAGAGAUGGGGUAUCACUAUUUUGCCCAGGCCGGUCUUGAACUCCUGGACUCAGGUGAUCCUCCUACCUUGGCCUCCCAAAGUGUUGGGAUUACAGACCGGGCUCUGUGCCUCAUGCCAAUAAUCCCAGCACUUUGGGAGGCUGAGGUGGGUGGAUCGCUUGAGCCCAGGAGUUUGAGACCAGCCUGGGAAACAUGGCGAAACCCUGUCUCUACUAAAAACACAAAAAUUAGAUGGGUGUGGUGGUGCGCAUCUGUAAUACCAGCUACUCUGGAGGCUGAGACAGGAGAACUGCUUGAACCCAAGAGACGGAGGUUGCGGUGAGCCAAGAUAGUGCCACUGCACUCCAGCCUGGGCAACAGAGCAAGACUUGGUCUCAAAAAAAAUAAUAAUAAUAAUGAGGCCUGGCGCAGUGGCUCACACCUGCAAUCCCAGCACUUUGGGAGGCCAAGGCGGGCGAAUCAUCUGAGGUCAGGAGUUUGAGACCAGCCCAACCAACAUGGAGAAACUCCAUCUCUACUAAAAAUACAAAAUUAGCCGGGCCGUGGUGGCACGUGCCUGUAAUCCCAGCUACUUGGAAGGCUGAGGCGGGAGAAUCGCUUGAACCUGGGAGGCGGAGGUUGCGGUGAGCUGAGAGUGCGCCAUUGCACUCCAGCCUGGACAACAAGAGCGAAACGCCAUCUCAAAAAUAAAUAAAUAAAUAAAGUGUUGGAAUUAUAGGCGUGAGUCUCCCUCUUGGCCAAAAGUUCCUAAUCCCCAAAAUGUCACAGUUUAGUAAGGUGAUACGGCGUCCAUACCACCCAUUUAUGUUUUGGGCAGGACCUAGAACCAUAGGGGUUUAUAGUAUGAGUGGCAAGGAUAGAGCAUUUUGUGGUUAUAGUGAAUAAGAAAUAGUUUCUCUAUUUAAGGAAUGUCUAAUCUUGUACAGCAACUAACCAUAAUGUGAGAUGGAAUGUAUGCUCUACACAAGGCAUUAACAACUUCAUUUUGGAGUUAAGAGGUUGGGAAAUUCACUUUGGGCUGAGAGAGCUAGAGGAAAGUGUUAUGGAGGAGGUAGCUUUGCUCUCAUGCUUUAUAAAGUAAAAUUUUAUCAGGUGGUAAAGUGGAAAGAGAUUGAGGAAAUAGGAGGAGCAAUGAUUUUUCCUUGUACAGAGGCUAAAAAAGGAAAUGCAAGUUUCACUUUAAAAUAAAUUGCAUUUAUUCAUUAUUUGUUAUUAUUAUUUUUUGAGACGGGUAUCACCAUGUUGCUCAGGCUGGAGUGCAGUGGUGCAGUCUCGGCUCACUGCAACCUUGACCUCCUGAGCUAAAGUGAUACUCCUACCUCAGCUUCCCAAGUAGCUGGGACAACAGGCCAGCACCACCAUGCCUGGCUAAUUUUUGUGUUUUUUUGUAGAGAUGGGGUUUCACCAUGUUGUCCAGGCCAAUCUCGAACUCCUGGCCUCAAGCCAUCUGCCCUCCUUGGCCUCCCAAAGUGCUAGGAUUAUAGGCAUGAGCCAUUGCAACUGGCCCUGUUUGUUAGGAAACAAGUCUUGGUCGGGCACGGUGGCUCACGCCUGUAAUCCCAGCACUUUGGGAGGCUGAGGCGGGCAGAUCACGAGGUCAGGAGAUCAAGACCAUCCUGGCCAACACGGUGAAACCCCGUCUCUACUAAAAAAAAAAUACGAAAAAUUAGCUGGGCAUGGUGGCGGGUGCCUAUAGUCCCAGCUACUCAGGAGGCUGAGGCAGGAGAAUGGCAUGAAUCCGGGAGGCAGAGCUUUCAGUGAGCCGAGAUCGUGCCACUGCACUCCAGCCUGGGCAACAGAACGAGACUCUGUCUCAAAAAAAAAAAAAGAAAGAAAGUAACAAAGUCUUGCUAUGUUAUCCAGGAUGGUCUACAACUCCUGUCCUCAAGGGAUCCUCCCACCUGAGCCUCUUGAAUAGCUGGGAUUAUAAGCAUGAGCCACCACACCCAGUUUCAAAUACAUUUUAUUUUAUUUUAUUUUACUUAUUUUUUUUUUGAGACGGAGUCUUGCUCUGUUGCCCAGGCUGGAGUGGAGUGGCACAAUCUCGGCUCACCACAACCUCCACCUCCUGGGUUCAACCGUUUCUCCUGCCUCAGCCUCCCAAGUAGCUGGGACUACAGGUGCGCACCACCAUGCCCGGCUAAUUUUUGUAUUUUUAGUAGAGACAGGGUUUCACUAUGUUAGCCAGGCCGGUCUCAAACUCCUGACCUUGUGAUCCACCUGCCUCAGCCUCCCAAAGUGCUGGGAUUACAAAUGUGAGCCGCUGCGCCCGGCCUUUUUUUUUUUUUUUUUUUUUUUUUUUUGAGAUGGAGCCUUGCUCUGCCGCCCAGGUUGGAGUGCAAUGGCGCGGUCUUGGCUCACUGCAACUUCCACCACCCAGGUUCAAGCAAUUCGGCCUCAGCCUCCUGAAUAGCUGGGACUACAGGCGCGUGCCAUUACACCCAGCUAAUUUUUGUAUUUUUUUUUUUUUUUUGAGACAGAGUCUUGCUCUUUCACCCAGGCCGGACUGCCAUGGCGCUAUCUCGGCUCACUGCAAGCUCCGUCUCCCGGGUUCACGCCAUUCUUCUGCCUCAGCCUCCCGAGUAGCUGGGACUACAGGCGCCUGGCUAAUUUUUUGUAUUUUUAGUAGAGACAGGGUUUCACCGUGUUAGCCAAGAUGGUCUCGAUCUCCUGACCUCGUGAUCCACCAGUCUCAGCCUCCCAAAGUGCUGGGAUUACAGGCGUGAGCCACCGUGCCCGGCCAACCUUAGUUACUUCUUUAAAGACCCUUUCUCCAAAUGCAAUCCCAGGCUGAGGUACUGGGGGUUAGGACUUCAACACAGGAAUUUUGGGUAGCGAGAAGGGAGGCAAAAUUCAGUCCCUAACACUCUGUGAUAUGUUUUCAUGGCACCCUUUAUUUUCCUUCACAGUAUAUAUUAUAUAUACAUACACAUACACACAUAGACAUAGUAUAUAUGUAGUUAUUUCUUUAGUUAUUUGUUGAAUUACUGUAUCUACAUUUCUAGAAAUUGUUCCUUUAAAAAUCUUUUUUUUUUUUUGUCAGAUUCUUGCUCUGUCACCCAGGCUGUAAUGUAAUGGCGUGAUCUCGGCUCACUGCAACCUCUGCUUCCCGAGUUCAAGCAGCUCUCCUGCCUCAGCCUCCCGAGUAGCUGGGAUUACAGGCAUGUGCCAUCACGCCCAGCUGAUUUUUGUAUUUUUAGUAGAGACGGGGUUUCACCAUGUUGGCCAGGCUACUCUCGAACUCCUGACCUCCUGAUCUGCCUGCCUUGCCCUCCCAAAGUGCCGGGAUUACAGGUGUGAGCCACCGCACCUGGCCUGUUUUUUUUUUUUUUUUUUUUUUUUUAAACCAAGCAAUGGUUAUGGAAGUCUUGUCAUUUUUAGUGAUUUAUUCCCUAGUGAUACAUUAUUUUUUCUGUCCGGUGCUUGAAUCAGGCUUUUAUAUAUAUUAAACAUACUUCUUUUUUGUUUUGUUUUGAGAUGGAGUCUUGCUCUGUCACCCAGACUGGAGUGCAGUGGUAUGAUCUUGGUUCAGUGCAACCUCCGCCUCCCGGGUUCAAGUGAUUCUCCUGCCUCAGCCUCCCAGGUAGCCAGGACUACAGGCACGUGCUACCACGCCCGGCUAAUUUUUGUAUUUUUGGUGGACACGGGGUUUCACCAUAUUGGCCAGGCUGGUCUCCAACUCCUGACCUCAGGUGAUCCACGCACCUCCGGUCUCCCACAGUGCUGGGAUUACAGGUGUGAGCCACCGCUCCUGGCAAACAUACUUCUUUAUAUGCAGCAAUAUAAUUCUAAUAUCCAAAGUCUCUGUGGGCAUAAUUCUGCUAUUUAUGAUUUCUGCUCAUUCUCAUUUAUGGUGGCCUACUUCCUGUUGCUUUGUGUUUGUGGGAUUUUUAUUAGUGAACACAUAUUCAAAGGAACUUAACAAUAGGGAUUUUUUUUCCUUAUAGUUUAUCAUCUGAACUCCAGGGAUUUUUUUUAGGUUUGCCUUGAAGGUGACUUUCUCCAGAGAGGAUCUGUAUUUCGUUCUCUGCAGUGCCUGACAAUUAGGUUACUAUCACCCUGUAACUACUUUAAAAUAAAUUCUGGGCUUGGUCGGGCUUGGUGGCUCAUGCCUGUAAUUCCAGCACUUUGGAAGGCCCAGGUGGGCAGAUCACUUGAGGUCAUGAGUUCGAGACCAGCCUGGCCAACAUGGCGAAACCCGUCUCAACUAAAAAUACGAAAAUUAGUCGGGCAUUGUGGUGGGUGCCGGUAAUCCCAGCUACUUGGGAGGCUGAGGCAGGAGAAUGGCAUGAACCCGGGAGGCAGAGGUUACAGUGAGCCAAGAUCACGCCAUUGCACUCCAGCCUGGGCAACAGAGGGAGACUCCAUCUCAGUAAGUAAGUAAAUAAGUAAGUAAGUAAGUAAAUAAAUAAAUAAAUAAAAUUCUGGGCUUGAAGUGUUUCUGUCUAUUCAGGUAGUAUAAACUUAGACUAUAAACUCAUGAAGACUAGCCUGUGAAUACUCAGGGGAGGUCUUCACAAUCCUCGACUUCCACCCCUGAUUCAGAGCCAAGAUUGCAGUAGGGACAUUUCCUUGCUGUCUCUUUUUUCAAGGUGGGUAUUUACUGGUUUACCCUUUCCUUUUUUUUUUUUUUUUUUUUUUUUGAGACGGAGUCUCGCUUUGUCACCCGGGCUGCAGUGCAGUGGCGCAAUCUCGGCUCACUGCAAGCUCCGCCUCCCAGGUUCAUGCCAUUCUCCUGCCUCAGCCUCCAGAGUAGCUGGGACUACAGACACCUGCCAGCACACCGGGCUAAUUUUUUGUAUUUUUAGUAGAGACGGGGUUUCACUGUGUUAGCCACCAUGGUCUCGAUCUCCUGACCUCGUGAUCCACCCGCCUCGGCCUCCCAAAGUGCUGGGAUUACAGGCAUGAGCCACCGCACCUGGCCUGGUUUACCCUUUCAUUGACAGUGGAGCCUGUGCCCACUGCAUUAAAGUUGAAGCUCUGUCACUGGCGAUUUGGCAGAUUCCCCUAGAGCUGUCGCCAAUUCCAGCCAUAUGUGUCUUGAAUUCAUGCUUUUUGCUUUUUAUAUUCAAGCUGGUGGUUUUAGGUGUUUUAUUUAUUUAUUUUUUUUUUAUACGGAGUCUUGCUCUGUCGCCUAGGCUGGAGUGCAGUGGUGCGAUCUUGGCUCACGGCAAGCUCCAACUCCCAGGUUCACGCCAUUCUCCUGCCUCAGCCUCUCGAGUAGCUGGGACUACAGGCACCCACCAUAAUGCCCAGCUAAUUUUUGUAUUUUAGUAGAGACAGGGUUUCACCAUGUUGGCCAGUCUGGUCUUGAACUCCUGACCUCAAGUGAUCUGCCCUCCUCAGCCUCCCAAAGUGCUGGGAUUACAGGCGUGAGCCACCAUGCCUAGCCUCACCACUCUUUUUCUGGCACCUGGCCCUGUGACUGGUUUUGUGGAAGACAAUUUUUCGAUGGAUCUUUUGGGGGCGGGGGUGCAGGAGCUGGGAAUGGUAUUGGGAUGAAACUGUUCCAUCAGAUCAUCAGGCAUUAGAUUCUCAUAAGGAGGACGAAACCCAAAUCCCUUGCAUGCAUAAUUCAUGAUAGGGUUUGCAAUCCUAUGAGAAUCUAAUGUCUGCUAAUCUGACAGGAGGCGGAGCUCAGGCUGUGAUGCUCACUUGCCAGUCACUCAUCUCCUGCUGUGCAGCCCGGUUCUUAACAGGCCAUGAACUGGUGCUGGUCUGCAGCCCAGGGUUUGGGGACCCCUGUCUCAUUGAAUAUAUGAAAUUGGGAAGAAAGUCAGGAGUUCCUAAAAGGACAAGAGAGGAAAAAAAUUCAGAUAAGGACUGAAAAAAAGGUUAUUGUAUUUGGCAAUUAGGCAUUUUGAGAAUAGAUGUAGUAAAGUCAUAAGGAUAAAAGCUUAAUUUCAGUGGGUUGACAAAUUAAGAGAGCUGAAGAAGGUAUAGAAAAUAAAACUUCUGGCCGGGUGCGGUAGCUCACACCUGUAAUCCCAGCACUUUGGGAGGCCGAGGCAGGCAGAUCAUGAGGUCAGGAGAUCCAGACCAUCCUGGCUAACACGGUGAAACCCCGUCUCCACCAAAAAAUACAAAAAAAUUAGCCGGGCAUGGUGGCGGGCACCUGUAGUCCCAGCUACUCAGAAGGCUGAGGCAGGAGAAUGGCGUGAACCCAGGAGGCGGAGCUUGCAGUGAGCCGAGAUCACGCUACUGCACUCCAGCCUGGGUGACGGAGCGAGACUCCGUCUCAAAGAAAAAAAAGGAAGAAAAUAAAACUUCCAGGCCAGGUGCAGUGGCUCACGCCUGUAAUCCCAGCACUUUGGGAGGCCGAGACGGGCGGAUCACCUGAGGUCAGGAGUUCGAGACCAGCCUGACCAACAUGGAGAAACCCCGUCUCUACUAAAAAUACAAAAUUAGCCGGGCGUGGUGGUGCAUGCCUGUAAUCCCAGCUACUCAGGAGGCUGAGGCAAGAGAAUCACUUGAGCCUGGGAGACGGAGGUUGUGGUGAGCCGAGAUCGCGCCAUUGCACUCCAGCCUGGGCAACAAGAGUGAAACUCCGUCUCAAAAAUAAUAAUAAAUAAAAUGAAAAUAAAACUUCUGGCCAGGCGUGGUGGCUCACGCCUGUAAUCCCAGCACUUUAGGAGGCUGAGGUGGGCGGAUCACGAGGUCAACAGAUCGAGACCAUCCUGACCAACAUGGUGAAACCCCGUCUCUACUAAAAAUACAAAAAUUAGCUGGGCGUGGUGGUGCGCGCUUGUAGUCUCAGGUACUCAGGAGGCAAAGGCAGGAGAAUUGCUUGAACCCGGGAGGCGGAGGUUGCAGUGAGCCGAGAUUGUGCCACUGCACUCCAGCCUGUUGACAGAGUGAGACUCCAUCUCAAAAGAAAAUAAAACUUUUUUUUCAAGAAAUGUUAGAGUGAAGAGAAAGCAGAAGGGUGGUUGGGUUGAAGAAAGAUUAUUCAGAAGGAGGGAAUCAAACAUAUUUGUAAGUUAAAGAGAAUGACCAUGCAGAAUAAAAUACAUUAUAAAAGAGAAAGGAUAAGUGUUAGGGUGCAGUAUUUCAGAAGAGACAGAUGAGAGGGUAAAGGUCUGAGUUAUAAGGCCUUUGUAAGGAGAUCCUCUUCUUCAGCCAGGCAGGAAGAUACAUACAGAUGGGUGCCCUCACAGUUUAGAGGUCAAAAGGAGGAAUACGGCCGGGCACAGUGGCUCAUGUGUGUAAUCCUGGCACCUUGGGAGGCUCAGAUGGGAAGAUCCCUCAAGCCCAGGAGACCAGCCUGGGCAACAUAGUGAGACCCCGUCUCUAAAAAAACAUUAAAAAAAAAUAGCCAAGUGUGGCGGUGUGCACCUGUGGUCCCAGCUCCUCAGAGGCUGAGGUGGGAGGAUUGCUGGGGCCUGGGAAGUUGAAGCUGCAGUGAGCUGUGAUGGCGCCACUAUACUCCAUCUUGGGCGACAGAGUGAGACCUGGUCUGGGGGAAAAAAAAGAAAAAGAGAGAAAAAGAAGAGAGAAAGAGAGGAGAGAGAGAGGGAAAGAAGGAAAGAAGAGAUAGAGAAAGAGCACUUUGGGAGGUCGAGACGGGUGGAUCACCUGAGGUCAGGAGUUGGAGAACAGCCUGGCCAACAUGGCAAAACCCUUUCUCUACUAAAAACACAAAAACUAGCCGGGCAUGGUGGCAGGUGCCUGUAAUCACAGCUACUCGGGAGGCUGAGGCAGGAGAAUCGCUUGAACCUGGGAGGUGGAGGUUGCAGUGAGCUGAGAUCAUGCCACUGCACUCCAGCCUGGGUGACGGAGCGAGGAAAAA